rnacentral:rRNA from 1 species
GACGAACGUUGGCGGCGCGCUUAAUGCAUGCAAGUCGAGGGUGAAACAGCCACUCCGUAAGGAGUGACUGUGGAAACCGGCGAACGGGUGCGUAACACGUGAGAAACCUGCCCCCCAGACCGGGAUAGCCCAGGGAAACUUGGAUUAAUACCGGAUAUUCUCUUUGGAUCGCAUGAUCCGUUGAGGAAAGGUCCGCUGCUGGGGGAUGGUCUCGCGGCCUAUCAGGUAGUUGGUGAGGUAACGGCUCACCAAGCCGAAGACGGGUAGCUGGUCUGAGAGGACGAUCAGCCACACUGGAACUGAGACACGGUCCAGACUCCUACGGGUGGCAG